UACGGAGGGAGCUAGCGUUGUUCGGAAUUACUGGGCGUAAAGCGCACGUAGGCGGCUUUGUAAGUUAGAGGUGAAAGCCUGGGGCUCAACCCCAGAAUUGCCUUUAAGACUGCAUCGCUUGAAUCCAGGAGAGGUGAGUGGAAUUCCGAGUGUAGAGGUGAAAUUCGUAGAUAUUCGGAAGAACACCAGUGGCGAAGGCGGCUCACUGGACCGGCAUUGACGCUGAGGUGCGAAAGCGUGGGGGGCAAACAGG
rnacentral:rRNA from 1 species